CCGUUGGAUAGGAACACGAAUAUAGGGUGUCCAUAUAAUUUCAUCAUACGAAAAGUUACUAGUAUUCAGGAGGGGAUCACGUGACUUCAUCAUAUAGGGUAUUCCUAUUCGAUUUUUAGGUGUCACAAGAAGAACAAGCAAGGCCGAAUGUUAUUGUUUUUAAGGGUUACACUGAGAGCGGUAUAUCGACGGUCAGUGAGGAACAAAUAUUAUAAAAUAUUA